CCCCCUCUAGUCUAGCGAGGACUUUCCUAAAUAAGCUGCUUGUAACUCGGUUCCCUCCUGUUCCCUGCUCCCGCCUUCAGCCCCAAAGCAAAACAACAAAACCAACCAACCAGAAAAGCCGCCGCCGCCUCCCCCAAACAAAACCCCAAACCCACCCCAACUCUGCAUCAGCUGUUCUUGCGCACGUUAUGUGAACUUCGUGGGCUAUAGAUAUUUUAGGCCUUUAAAUGCCAUUCUGUGCACACAAAACUUAAAAAUGGUCUGACACGGGGGAAAAUUGGCAAACGUAUAGUUCACAAUCUGUUACCGUCACGUGAAGGCAGAUUCAGGAAAAGCUCCACUGGCUCUUUCUUCCAAGCCAGGUUAUGCAACGUCUUAAAAUCCUUAAAAUCGUCUGGGGACUUGUCUGAGAGAGGAAGAAGGGGGAGCCAGGAGGGAGAAGCCAGGAUUUGGUUGCCACGUGGACACGAGUCAUUGGAUUUAGGGCCCACUGUGAACCUGGAUGAUCUCGUCUCAAGGUCCUUACCUUAAUUACAUCUGCAAAAACCCUAUUUCAAAUAAGGUUACAUUCUGAGGUGCCAGGAGUUAGGACUUGGACAUAUAUUUUGGGGGCUGCUAUCUACCUCACUGCAUGCCUCCUUGCUUAAAAUCAUCCAAUGAAAGAUAACCCUCAUUCUGCACAAAACAUCUUUUGAGCCAUCAUUAAAUAACGGAUCGAUGAAGUGCUUCGAAUCUUCAGCUCAGCAAGUGAAUUAAUUUGAAAAAGAAUGACAUAAAGGUUCUCUGUUCUUUCUGUGAGGAAGUUUCUCCCAAAUGAUUUUUCAAGAUGAGCAAAUGAAAAAAAAAAUGCAUAAUUGCAGCUGUCACUAGAUCAUUUUCUCCUUCAUUUUUGGGGUCUAUUCUUACUUGUUCGAAUUGUGUAGACAGCUUUGAUCAUGCUGCCGUUGCCAAGCAAUUCACUCAUCUGCUGAGUCCCCGACUGCCAAACCGAACUGUUCUCUCACCAGACGAUACUCUGUUCCACACAAUCUGAUUUUCAUCCUGUGCUUUGAACUCUGUUACCACUGCCUUAAGAAGAGAGAAUACUUUCGGAAUUUUUUGACUAUAGGAAACAGAACACAUGAAGCUUGGUUUUCACAACUUGGAUUCUUACGUGGAUUCCCAGACAGCUCUCAUGUUCUAAAAUUACUCUUUGGUCAUCUCACUAUGUGCUCCCUAAUUCUGCACUUCAGUGCUUCUAGAAGGGCUGCCCUCCUUUCCCCCGAAGGCGGAAAGGACACAGUCAAUAUGUUUUUCCCCUGCACAGGAGUAAGAAAAAUUAUCUGUAGUCCAUUUUUAUCAUGACUCUUGUGUGGCCUCUUUUCUUUUCUGUGGAAGGUGUUUCUAGUGCCUUGGUGGGACAACACACUUUUUUUUUUUUUUUUUU